CUCUUUUAGUUAAUUAUUUAUUCAAGUUUAUUCAAUUUACCAUUUAUUUUCCUGAUUGGCGGCUGAUACGGCCAUGAACAUUAGCAUCACAACGAAUUCCAUUUUCAUCUUCAUAUUCGAGCGUAUAAAAUUAAUUCUUGUUGAAAAUCGAGUACUGACACCAAAGAUAUAACUUACACUAAAUAUGCGGUCUUUUUCUUUUAUAAGGAAAUCUAAACCGACCCAUGACCUUUUCCAUACGGUGAAUCUUAUGGUAGUAUGGUACGUAUUGCAGAAUACAGUCAACUAUUUAAAAUACGUACAUUCUUGUAAUGAUCAAAGCAAGACCUUUUAUUAUCGUUCGGUGUUAUUUUAUUAUACAUAAAUUUUUGUAAACUAUUGGGUUAUCAUCUACUUAAUAUUUGAUUACGUAAUUUUUGAUGAUAACUGUUCACGAUAAUAGUUUUUCUCUUACUAUGCAUGUUGAUUACUCAUAUAAUACUAACCUGUUAUUAAUACUUUAAAAAAAUUGAAUAAACCAAAACUGAGAAACGGCAACAUUUUGCAAGUUACUAAUUUAAGUAAAUAAAGCAGUAAUUAUCUGAGCAGUAAAUGAUACAGUACUAUGCAAAAAAAACGAACACGUUUGAAGGAUAAGCUUAAAUUACUCGGCGAAGCUGGCUCUUUAUCUCAAAUAUUCUUGAUAACAUCUGGACAAAUAAUUUCUCUUUACUCAUGCUUAAUUUCUACUGAAUUGAUUGCAAUAUUAUGAUUUUGUUCUGUUAAAUAAAUACUUCUUUAUGGCAAUAAAAUUAAUGAUAAGGACAUGUAAAUUA